rnacentral:misc_RNA from 1 species
AGCAGCCGCGGUAAUUCCAGCUCCAAUAGCGUAUAUUAAAGUUGUUGCAGUUAAAAAGCUCGUAGUUGAGUUUUGGAUUCUACCAAUUGGUCCAUCUUUUAGAUGAGUACUGGUUGUGUGGGGUCUAUCCGCCUGGUGAUACGUAAUGUCCUUUAUUGGAUGUUGCGGGUAGUCAGGACCUUUACCUUGAAAAAAUUAGAGUGUUUAAAGCAGGCUUAUGCCGGAAUACAUUAGCAUGGAAUAAUAGAAUAGGACGAAGUUGUUUUAUUUUGUUGGUUUCUAGGACAACCGUAAUGAUUAAUAGGGAUAGUUGGGGGCAUUAGUAUUCAAUUGUCAGAGGUGAAAUUCUUGGAUUUAUUGAAGACUAACUACUGCGAAAGCAUUUGCCAAGGAUGUUUUCAUUAAUCAAGAACGAAAGUUAGGGGAUCGAAGACGAUCAGAUACCGUCGUAGUCUUAACCAUAAACUAUGCCGACUAGGGAUCGGGCGAUGUUGUUUCCAUGACUCGCUCGGCACCUUAU